GGUAGCCAUAGUUAGGGUUUUCAAGCUUCCAAGCUCCAUAAUCAAGAAGUACGAAACUCGAGGUUAGACAAAGGGAAGAAUAAAGUUGAAGACUAAGUUGGUGAAUUUGGCUAUAAUUGGUACCGAGUAUUGCAAAGCUACUUCAAGGAUCCUAAAGAAGUCGGAGAUCGUCCACACUAUCAACUACAACUGCUCGGUAUUUUAUAUCGAAACACGUUUGAGUUAUGGCAUGUAUAGGGAUUUAGUUAUUUUGUAUGUUUGUAAUGAUGAUUUUGCUAAUGAGUGAUGUGUAAGUAUUUGAUGAUGUAUGGUCAUUAAAAUGGUUAAGGAUGAAGGUGUUUGUUGUUAUGAAA